CGAGCCGGGCGGACGGCCGCGUGGAGUCCCCCUGACGGGGAACUUCCCGAGGAACGUCCGGGCUCCACAGGGCAGGGUGGUGGCUAACGGCCACCCGGGGUGACCCGCGGGACAGUGCCACAGAAAACAAACCGCCGGGGACCUCGUCCUCGGUAAGGGUGAAACGGUGGUGUAAGAGACCACCAGUGCCCAGGGUGACCUGGGCAGCUAGGUAAACCCCACCCGGAGCAAGGUCAAGAGGGGCCGCCGUAAAAAGUGGCCCUGCGCGGACGUCCGAGGGCAGCCCGCCCGAGUCCGCGGGUAGACCGCACGAGGCCGGCGGCAACGCCGGCCCUAGAUGGAUGGCCGUCACCACGGGCGCCGCGAGGACCCGUGGUACAGAACCCGGCGUACAGCCCUGCUCGUCUG
rnacentral:RNase_P_RNA from 3 species